GUUUGCAAAACGCGCUACUAUCACCCACGCUAAAAAAAUCCACCCAACACCCGCGCACACACUCCACUCUUCCUCCUCCCCCACCCAAGACCCAACGAAUUCCCCAAUCCUCCUCUCCUCUGCCCCAACCCCGCCGCCGCCGGCCUCGUCUCCCUCUACCCCCGACGCCGCCGCUCCACCCUCUCCCGCGCCCCUCACCUUGUCUCCCAUCCACAGAUCGAGCGAGAAGGUGAGGCAGCCCCCAGAUCCACGGUGACAUGGAGGUCCGAAACCCUAGCUAGCAUGGCCACCGAGCCGCAGGCGGAAGCAGGCCAAGGCCAUGGUGACCAAUACCCCCCCCCCCCCCCCCCCCCCCCCCCCCCCCCCCCCCCGGUCACCACGAGAGGAGAGGAGAGGAGAGGAUAGAAGGGGGACAUCCAGCAAGCAGGCCAUGGCGGUGGCCAGAUCCGCCCAUCAGACCAGCAUCGUGAGGAGACAGACGGCAUGGAGCUGGUCGUCAAGGUCCGACCUUGGCAGGCACCAAGGUGCACGUACUCCAUGGAGAUGCUUCUCCAUCCAACUCUGACACACAUGCCGUAGCCGCGGUAACCAUCAAGGGUGGCAUCGACGACGACGACGACAUCGACAUGGGGUUGCGGCGGCGACGACGACGGCGGCAUCGACAAGGGGCUGCGGCGCCGACGACAUCAUCAUGGUGCUGCGGCGACGACGACAACAACAACAUCAACAUUGGCUUCUGGAGGCGCCGAUGCCGACCUAUAAGCGCGGCGUAUAUUGUAUAUACCUGUAUUAAUUUUCUAUAUCAGAUAUGCAUGAUUGACUGUAAGCAUAACAUGUACAUAUUAUGAAUGCAUGUAUGUGAGUACUAUGAAAUGUUUGUCUAAACUGGAAUAAAUAGAUUUUUAUUUUUUUAAA